GACGAACGCUGGCGGCGUGCUUAACACAUGCAAGUCGAGCGGUAAGGCCCUUUCGGGGGUACACGAGCGGCGAACGGGUGAGUAACACGUGGGUGACCUGCCCUCAGCUCUGGGAUAAGCCUGGGAAACCGGGUCUAAUACUGGAUAUGACUCCAUGACGCAUGUUGUGGGGUGGAAGGCCUUGUGCGGCUGAGGAUGGGCCCGCGGCCUAUCAGCUUGUUGGUGGGGUGANGGCCUACCAAGGCGACGACGGGUAGCCGGCCUGAGAGGGCGACCGGCCACACUGGGACUGAGACACGGCCCAGACUCCUACGGGAGGCAGCAGUGGGGAAUCUUGCGCAAUGGGCGAAAGCCUGACGCAGCGACGCCGCGUGA
rnacentral:rRNA from 1 species